CCAUGGUCAAAAGGUCUAAACCCACGUGAGCUUGCUCAUAGGUGGAUGAAAGACCUUGAACCCACCACAAUAUGAGCAUAAAAGUGGGAUGACAAUUCCACGAUAUGCGAAUAUUAGGUAGAAUUGCUGCGUGAUACGCACGAAACAAUUCGUAGGCAUC
rnacentral:sRNA from 1 species